UUGGUUUAUGUGCAUUCCGUGUUGGGCUAGUCACUGAAGGACAUGGCUGCCUUUCUGAACUGUAUUCUGGUGGAAGGGUAAAGGAGUUGCUUGCACAAGGUGUUUCACAAAAUCGGUAUCAUGAGAAGACUCCAGAGCAGGAAAGGUUGGAAAGGAGACGCCAAAUGCCAUAUCAUAUGCACAUAAAUCUUGAGCUUCUGGAGGCUGUCCAUCUCAUCUGUGCCAUGCUACUGGAGGUCCCCAACAUGGCAGCCAACAC
rnacentral:misc_RNA from 1 species